rnacentral:snRNA from 1 species
AUCCUAGUGCAUGGGCGUUACACCUAACUAUGAGGAGAUAAUCCGAGUUGGUGUUUUUGCUAGUUGAAAACUAUUCCAUGACCACUUCUGCCCUUUUAUUACAUCGGGCAGAGAAUCUUUUGACCAAUUUAUC